GCGAGCGCAGGUCGUGUCCCGGGUCUGAGGGCGCCGCCCCAGCUCCCCGCGCCCUCCUGGUCCCUCUGCUCCCAGAGCCUCGGGCCUCCCUGGAGCCGGGGAGCCGCCGCCGCUUGUCCGCUUGUUUCGUGCGCGCCCCCGGCCCCGCGGCCGCAGCUGCUUCGUGGAGGCCGCGGAGGUGGGACCUGCUUGUGUCGGUGCGUGGACAGGUCUCAGGUGUGGUGCAGAGAGAACUAGUCCAGUCCAGGCAGCUGAGGACCUAGGGUGACCGUCUUGCGCAUGCGUUAAUCACAGGGAAGGAUUUCAACUGCUCUGGCUGGUGUGUGGGCCAAGCAUUAUUCAUCUGCCUCCAGACUGCCCAGUGCUCUGCUUCCACUCCUAUCCCUCUUCCUGAAGGAACUUCUUAGGCUGAGAGACGACAUUCCCUUAGAAUUCUAGAAGUUGCAAAAGGAAAUGGACUCAGUGGUUCUUGAGGAUGUGGCUGUGGUCUUUAGCCAGGAAGAGUGGGCGUUGCUGGAUGUUGCUGAGAGGAAACUCUACAGAGAUGUGAUGAUGGAAACCUUCAGAAACCUGACCUCAGUAGCAGUCAUACAAUAGAGAACUUCCAUGAAAGUAAUGAGGGCACUCAGUCUUGGAAAACGUUCAGCUGGAUUCCAGAUCUUACUGCGCUCAAAAGAAACCCUCCAGGAAUAAACUGUUUUGAAUACUCUGAUUGUGGAAAGGUCUUCAUGGAUCACUCAGCAUGUAACCAUCAUAUCAGAUCUUCCACCAGAUGCAGUGCCUUUCAGGGUAAGGGAUGUGGAGAAUCCUGCAGCUGUUCCUCUCACUUAACCACGCCUUUGAGAGUUCUUCAUGGAAAUAAACGCCAUAAAUGUAAGGUGUCUGGGAAGGAUAUGAUUUGUAUGUCAACCCUUAAGAAUCCUGUGCCAGCACUCACUGGUGAGAAAUGCUACGAAUGUAACAAAUGUGGGAAAGGAUUUUGUAGUUUGUCAUCCCUUUGUACACACGUGAGUGGUCAUAAGCAUGCAUGUAAAGAAUGUUGUAAAAUCUGUAGUCCUUCAUCCCUCAUUUUACCUAAAAAAUGUCCUAACAGAGAAAAGCCUUAUGAAUGUGUGGAAUGUGGGAAAGCCUUUUGUUAUUUCUCAGCCCUUAGUGUGCAUAAAAGGACUCACAGUGGAGAAAGGCCUUAUGAAUGGAAACAGUGCGGGAAAGCCUUUAUUUGUUCCUCCCGCCUCAAUUCACAUAUAAGAACUCACAGUGGAGAGAGGCCUCAUGAAUGUAAGGAAUGUGGGAAAGCCUUUAUUCGUUUCUCUCACCUCACUUCACAGAAAAGAACUCACAGUGGAGAGAAACCUUAUGAAUGUAUACCCUGUGGGAAAGCCUUUAGUUGUUCCACAGCCCUCAUUAGGCAUUAAAAAAUACACAAUGGAGUGAGGCCUUAUGACUGUACAGAAUGUGGGAAAGCCUUCAUAUAUUCCUCAUGCCUUACUAUGCAUAAAAGAGGUCACAGUGGAGAGAAACCUUAUGAAUGUAAACAAUGUGGGAAAGCCUUUAUUUGUUCCUCCCGCCUCAAUUCACAUAUAAGAACUCACAGUGGAGAGAGGCCUCAUGAAUGUAAGGAAUGUGGGAAAGCCUUUAUUCGUUCCUCCCACCUCACUUCACAUAAAAGAACUCACAGUGGAGAGAAACCUUAUGAAUGUACACAAUGUGAGAAAACCUUCAGUUGUUCCCCAGCCCUCAGUAGACAUAAAAAAACUCACAAUGGAGUAAGGCCUUAUGAAUGCACGGAAUGUGGAAAAGCUUUUAUUUAUUCCUCAGCCCUUAGUAUGCAUAAAAGAACUCACAGUGGAGAGAAACCUUAUGAAUGUAAGCAAUGUGGGAAGGCCUUUAGUUGCUCCUCGCGUCUCACUUCACAUAAAAAAACUCAGUGGAGAGAGGCCCUAUGAAUGUACACAAUGUGGAAAAGCCUUCAGUUGUUCCCCCGCCCUCAGUAGGCAUAAAAAAACUCACAAUGGAGUAAGGCCUUAUGAAUGUGCGGAAUGUGGAAAAGCCUUUAUUUAUUCCUCAGACCUUACUACGCAUAAAAGAGCUCACAGUGGACAAACCUUAUCAAUGUAAGCAGUGUGGGAAAGCCUUUAUUUGUUCCUCACGCCUCACUUCACAUAUAAGAACUCACAGUGGAGAGAGGCCUUAUGGGUGUAAGGAGUGUGGGAAAUCCUUUGUUCAGACCUCACACCUCGCUCGCCAUCUGAGAAUUCUCAAUUGAGAAAGGCUUUAUAGACCUAAGCAACGUGGAAAGCCUUUAGUUGUUCCUGGCACCUCACUUCACAUAUAAGAACUCACAGCGAGUUGAUUGAUUACUCUUACGUCAAAAGUGAGAUAUUUCAUCCUUACAGUUAUGAUUUUGAACAGCAAAUUUCUGUAAGUUUAUAAAUAAAGAACAAACACUUUUAGUACGAAAUUAAUCCUAACUCAAAGGAUCAUCAAACAUAAUUUAUGCCUUUGGGAGAAGUGCCAGUUUCAUUGUAACUGGGACUGUCCUCAUAAGUGUUUGUUACUUUCUCAGUCUAAGCUAAAUUUUACCUUUGUUAAAGUCUUUGCUAUUACCAAUGAGGCUGCAGGGAAUAGCAUUGAGCAAAUGUGGUUUUAUAUUAUUUAAUGUUAUAUCCUUGAUGUUAUUUUGCAAACAAUAAAAUACACUCAUCUUUUAUUUGGAUCAGACUGUUUUGUUUUCAUAUUUGAAACAUUCCUUCCAUUCUUAUCGUAAACUGUUUUGAGUGUUAUAAUUAAUAACUGUCAUAUAGUGAUACUUAGAGACUGUGUAAAUACUCUUGUUUUCAUUGUACUUUGGCCUACCUAUAUUAGUAUUUGCAUAUAAUUAUGUAUUAUUAUUACUGUGGUCUUUACCGGAUGAUAUUUUUUGUUCCAAUACCCAAUUAAAUAUAUCUAUUAAUUUUUUUUUUAUUAAUUGGCAUUCUGAAAGAAAUAGAUUUUCUUUCACUCUGAUAUUUGUUCUUGAUUAUUCAUAAUAGUAUACGCAGUGCACAGAUUAUCAUGGAGUUCCAUUCCUAAGUGCAUUUGUUAGUUGAAUUUGCACGCCGGAACGCUUAGGUACGAUCAUUUGUAUGUAAUGUCAUUUAGUCGGAUUUUUUCCUUAGAAUAUACUGUACAGUGUACCUUUUUAUGCAUAAAAAAGGUCUAAGAAAACACUUGUAGUUUCAAUAAAAUAUUUUGA